rnacentral:tRNA from 1 species
GGGGUCGGCCUGCGGCCGACCGAAUUUGUUCCAGACAAAUUCGUCGAACCCGCGCGGGUUCAAAUCCCGCCCCCCCCA